rnacentral:siRNA from 1 species
CUAGAGAAGCGUUUCUGUGGA